AUCAUGGACUACUAUGGACUUUCUCUGAUCGUUGCCUCACUUCUAACAGGAGUCGGCUGUAAAGAACUGAAAGCAGUCAAAGAUGAAGAGUCCAGUCUAGAAGGCAGCUCUGUUACUCUGUCCUACAGAUACUCCGAACAAGCAGUUGGCACUGAUUAUUUCUUCUGGUAUCGACAAAAUCCAGGAAAACCUCCAGAGUUCCUGAUCUCUCACACAGGAACAGGAGGAGAAAUAUCUCAGCCGGUUCCUGGCCUGUCCUUUAAAGUGAGUGAAGAUAAAACCCAGAUGGACCUGCUGAUCUCCUCUGCUGCAGUGACAGACUCUGCUGUGUACUACUGUGCUGUGAAGCCCACAGUGACAGGAAACAGCAGAACUCUGUACAAGAACAUGCAGUACUCCACAACAUCCACUAGAGGGCCUCACACACUGUUCAACCACUGA